ensembl:miRNA eca-mir-9079 eca-mir-9079
AGCGAAUAUGGCUGUUUUCAUGGGUGUCUCUAAACGAUACCACUAGGCUGUUGAGGGCUGCAUGGUAUAGACCAAGUCAAUGUUGCAGUUCGUCAUCAACCUGUGGUAUCAGAGAUUCUGGUUCCCCGUGUGAGUGUGGUAGUCG